UACGUAGGGUGCAAGCGUUAAUCGGAAUUACUGGGCGUAAAGGGCGCGUAGGCUGCUCGCUAAGUCGGGUGUGAAAACUCUGGGCUAAACCCAGAGCCUGCAUUCGAAACUGACGAGCUAGAGUUCUGGAGGGGAAAGCGGAAUUCCUGGUGUAGCGGUGAAAUGCGUAGAUAUCAGGAGGAACACCGGUGGCGAAGGCGGCUUUCUGGACAGAAACUGACGCUGAGGCGCGAAAGCUAGGGGAGCAAACAGG
rnacentral:rRNA from 1 species